UACGAAGGGGGCUAGCGUUGUUCGGAAUUACUGGGCGUAAAGGGCGCGUAGGCGGUUACGUAAGUCAGGUGUGAAAGCCCUGGGCUUAACCUGGGAGGUGCAUUUGAUACUGCGUAACUAGAGACCGAGAGAGGAAAGUGGAUUGCGAGUGGAGAGGUGAAAUUCGUAGAUAUUCGCAAGAACACCAGUGGCGAAGGCGGCUUUCUGGCUCGGACCUGACGCUAAGGCGCGAAAGCGUGGGGAGCAAACAGG
rnacentral:rRNA from 1 species